CCAAUAGCGUAUAUUAAAGUUGUUGCAGUUAAAAAGCUCGUAGUUGAAUUUUAGGCCUGGCCGGGCGGUCCGUCUUUGGCGAGUACUGUCCUGUGUCGGGUUUUACCUUCUGGUAAACCGGCAUGUUCUUUUAUUGUGUGUGCCGUGGGAACCAGACCAUUACCUUGAAAAAAUUAGAGUGUUUAAAGCGGGCUUUUGCUUGAAUAGAUUAGCAUGGAAUAAUAAAAUAGGACGUUGGUUCUAUUUUGUUGGUCUAGGACCACCGUAAUGAUUAAUAGGGAUAGUUGGGGGCAUUAGUAUUCAAUUGUCAGAGGUGAAAUUCUUGGAUUUAUUGGAGACUAACUACUGCGAAAGCAUUUGCCAAGGAUGUUUUCAUUAAUCAAGAACGAAAGUUAGGGGAUCGAAGACGAUCAGAUACCGUCGUAGUCUUAACCAUAAACUAUGCCGACUAGGAAUCGGGCGUCGUUAUUUUCACGACUCGCUCGGCGCCUUAUG
rnacentral:rRNA from 1 species